GACGAACGCUGGCGGCGUGCUUAACACAUGCAAGUCGAACGGAAAGGCCCUGCUUUUGUGGGGUGCUCGAGUGGCGAACGGGUGAGUAACACGUGAGUAACCUGCCCUUGACUUUGGGAUAACUUCAGGAAACUGGGGCUAAUACCGGAUCGGAGCUCCUGCUGCAUGGUGGGGGUUGGAAAGUUUCGGCGGUUGGGGAUGGACUCGCGGCUUAUCAGCUUGUUGGUGGGGUAGUGGAUUACCAAGGCUUUGACGGGUAGCCGGCCUGGGAGGGUGACCGGCCACAUUGGGACUGAGAUACGGCCCAGACUCCUACGGGAGGCAGCAGUGGGGAAUAUUGCACAAUGGGCGGAAGCCGGAUGCAGCAACGCCGCGGGCGGGAUGACGGCCUUCGGGUUGUAAACCGCUUUCGCCUGUGACGAAGCGUGAGUGACGGUAAUGGGUAAAGAAGCACCGGCUAACUACGUG
rnacentral:rRNA from 1 species